UACGAAGGGUGCAAACGUUGCUCGGAAUUAUUGGGCGUAAAGCGCACGUAGGCGGCUUUUCAAGUCCCAUGUGAAAGCCCACGGCUUAACCGUGGAGGGUCAUUGGAAACUGGAGGACUUGAGUGCAGAAGAGAAGAGUGGAAUUCCACGUGUAGCGGUGAAAUGCGUAGAGAUGUGGAGGAACACCAGUGGCGAAGGCGACUCGUUUGGUCUGUAACUGACGCUGAGGCGCGAAAAGCGUGGGGAGCAAAC
rnacentral:rRNA from 1 species